GGCUGUCCAGAUUUGCCGACUACGCGCGUACUGCCACCUCUCAUCCUCCAGGUCCAAUGCUAGCCAUGAGUCUAUGACGCUGCUGCUGCGCUGUCAGCAGCCAGCAGGUACAUCAAAGUCCAAACACGUGAAGUUGACAAAGUCUGCUCAUACUUACGGAGAAAGGAGACUACUGCUGUUCCGAUGCCCAAGUAGACAAAGCUCAGAACCGCCUGCAACAACGAGACGACAAGAGGGUGAAAACUUAUUCCUGUGUUUGCUGUGUUACAGCAAUGUAAUGAUUGCAAAAUGUUAGACUAUUUAUGACAAAUCCACAACUACCA